rnacentral:tRNA from 1 species
AGGCUUGUAGCUCAGUAUGGUUAGAGCGCACCCCUGAUAAGGGUGAGGUCGGUGGUUCAAGUCCACUCAGGCCUA